UCGGAUGUGGUGCACGGCGCACGCCAGCGUCAUAUGAACUCGUCGAAAGACUGUGUGAUCAGCUGAAGUCCGGGGUUCGACUCCCCGCAUCUGAA